UUCAAUAUGAUGUAGUCUAGAAUCACUUUACCUUAGAAGUGUAACUGAGAGAAGAGAAACUACAGAGCUACGAGGAGACGGAGAGACUCAGGGAGGAGCUGAGCUGUUACUGAACUAUAGAAGAGAGAGGAACUUCUAGAUUCAACAGAGAUCAAUACACACACCAUCAACUUUACCUUUAUUCAACAUGCCGCCACUGCAGCAUUGGGGGUUUUAUCUGAUCUUUCUCUCCAUCCUCACAGGAGUCAGCUGUGAAGAACUCACUCCAGUAGAGAAAGAGGAGAACAGUUUAGAAGACAGCUCUGUUACUCUGUCCUACAGAUACUCCAAAGGUUCUGCUGAUUAUUUCUUCUGGUAUAGACAAUAUCCAGGAAAACCCCCAGAGUUCCUCAUCUCUCACUUUGGAACGCAAAAUGCAACAAAGUCUGGACUGUCUGCUUCAGUGAGUGAGGAUAAAACCAAAAUACAUAUGCAGAUCUUCUCUGCUAAGCUGUCUGACUCUGCUGUGUACUACUGUGCUCUGAGGCCCACAGUGACAGGAAACACCAAAACUCUGUACAAAAACCUUUGGAGCAAAGACAACACAAUACUCCACAACAUCCACCAGAGGGUGACACACUCUGUUACACUUCAAUUUGAUGUAGUCUAGAAUCACUUUACCUUAGAAGUGUAA